rnacentral:rRNA from 1 species
CGGUAGAAAUACCAUUGGGGUUUCGGACUGUGAAAGGUAUCUUAAGAUCUAGUCGAAGUGUGUGGGAAAGCAUACCGGAGAGCGUGAGAGUCGCGUAGAUGAAAGAUCGAGAGAGCCGACAGGAUCCAAAGUACCACGGGACACGAGGAAUCCCGUGGGAAGACGGGGGGACCACCCUCCAAGCCUAAAUACUACCCAGUGACCGAUAGCGUAUAGUACUGUGAAGGAACGGUGAAAAGAACCCCGGGAGGGGAGUGAAAGAGAACCUGAAACCCUGUGCUUACAAGCACAUAGAGCACGUCAAAGUGUGAUAUGGUACUUUUUGUAGAACGGUCCGGCGAGCGUAUGUAAGGAGCAAGGUUAAGCACUUCUGGUGCGAAGCCAAAGGGAAACCGAGUCUGAAUAGGGCGAUCAGUUGCUUGCAUAGGGCCCGAAACCGGGUGACCUAUCCAUGUCCAGGUUGAAGUGGGAGUAAAAUCCCAUGGAGGACCGAACCGACCCCCGUUGAAAUGGUGGCGGAUGAGGUGUGGAUAGCGGAGAAAUUCCAAUCGAACUCGGAGAUAGCUGGUUCUCCCCGAAAUAGCUUUAGGGCUAGCGUUGUGAAUGAUUACCGGAGGUAAAGCACUGAAUGAUGGAGGGGCCGAGAGGUUACCAAAAUCUAUCAAACUAAGAAUGCCGGAUAAUUGAAUCACAGCAGUCAGACAGUGUGAGAUAAGUCUCAUUGUCAAAAGGGAAAAAGCCCAGACCCACAGCUAAGGUCCCAAAGGAAUGUUAAGUGGAGAAGGAUGUGGAGUUGCGAAAACAACCAGGAUGUUGGCUUAGAAGCAGCCACUCAUUUAAAGAGUGCGUAAUAGCUCACUGGUCGAGUGACUCUGCGCCGAAAAUGUAACGGGGCUAAACAUGACACCGAAGCUUGGGAACCCGCAAGGGUUGGUAGGGGAGCGUUGUGUACGGGGUGAAACAUGAGCGGAAGCGCGUGUGGACUGUACAGAAGUGAGAAUGCCGGAAUGAGUAGCGCGAUUUAUGUGAGAAUCAUAAAGGCCGAAAGCCUAAGGUUUCUGGAGGAAGGUUCGUCCGCUCCAGGUUAGUCGGGAGCUAAGGUGAGGCCGAGAGGCGUAGCCGAUGCACAUACGGUAGAAAUUCCGUAACCGUCGAAGUAUUUAAGCAAAGGGACACUGAGGAAGUGUAUGACCCGGGCGAUGGUAGCCCCGGGCGAAAGGGACCGAAGUAUAGUAGGGAAGCAUGCAUGGAAACAGGCGAGAAAAGCUUUGUGAAUAUACAAGAUGCCCGUACCGCAAACCGACACAGGUAGGUAGGAAGAGAAUUCUAAGGCCAACGGGAGAAGUGUUGUUAAGGAACUCGGCAAGUUGACCCCGUAACUUCGGGAGAAGGGGUGCUCACGAGAGUGAGCCGCAGAGAAUAGGUCCAGGCGACUGUUUAGCAAAAACACAGCUCUAUGCUAAAUCGGAAGAUGAUGUAUAUGGGGUGACGCCUGCCCGGUGCUGGAAGGUUAAGAGGAGGAGUGAGAGCCCCGAAUCGAAGCCCCAGUAAACGGCGGCCGUAACUAUAACGGUCCUAAGGUAGCGAAAUUCCUUGUCAGGUAAGUUCUGACCCGCACGAAUGGCGUAACGAUCUGGCAACUGUCUCAACAGCCCGCCCGGCGAAAUUGUAGUACCGGUGAAGAUGCCGGUUACCCGCGACAAGACGGAAAGACCCCAUGGAGCUUCACUGUAGCUUAAUAUUGGAUUUCGGUAUUUCAUGUACAGCAUAGGUGGGAGGCUGAGAAACUAGGACGCCAGUCUUAGCG